UACGGAGGGUGCAAGCGUUGUCCGGAUUUAUUGGGUUUAAAGGGUGCGUAGGCGGGCAGGUAAGUCAGUGGUGAAAUCCUAGAGCUUAACUCUAGAACUGCCGUUGAUACUAUCUGUCUUGAAUAUUGUGGAGGUGAGCGGAAUAUGUCAUGUAGCGGUGAAAUGCUUAGAUAUGACAUAGAACACCAAUUGCGAAGGCAGCUCGCUACACAUAUAUUGACUCUGAGGCACGAAAGCGUGGGGAUCAAACAGG
rnacentral:rRNA from 1 species